UCGAACGAGGUCCAACUAGUGGCAACACUAGGGAAGAUCUAGUGGCGAACGGGUGCGUAACACGUGAGGAACCUACCCCGGACUCUGGAAUAACAGCGGGAAACCGCUGCUAAUACCGGAUAUCGUCGCACGGUCGCAUGGCCGAGUGACGAAAGGUUUACCGGUUCGGGACGGCCUCGCGGCCUAUCAGCUUGUUGGCGGGGUAAUGGCCCACCAAGGCAUCGACGGGUAGCUGGUCUGAGAGGAUGAUCAGCCACACUGGGACUGAGACACGGCCCAGACUCCUACGGGAGGCAGCAGUGGGGAAUCUUGCGCAAUGGGCGAAAGCCUGACGCAGCAACGCCGCGUGGGGGAUGAAGGCUCUCGGGUUGUAAACCCCUUUCAGCAGGAACGAAAAUGACGGUACCUGCAGAAGAAGGCCCGGCCAACUACGUGCCAGCAGCCGCGGUAAUACGUAGGGGCCAAGCGUUGUCCGGAUUUAUUGGGCGUAAAGAGCUCGUAGGCGGUUUGGAUAGUCGGGUGUGAAAACUCCGAGCUCAACUCGGAGACGCCACCCGAUACUGCCAUGACUAGAGUCCGGUAGGGGAGCAGGGAAUUCCUGGUGUAGCGGUGAAAUGCGCAGAUAUCAGGAGGAACACCGGUGGCGAAGGCGCUGCUCUGGGCCGGUACUGACGCUGAGGAGCGAAAGCGUGGGUAGCAAACAGGAUUAGAUACCCUGGUAGUCCACGCCGUAAACGUUGGGCACUANGU
rnacentral:rRNA from 1 species